UCGAGUCGUUUGUUCUAUUCAACUAUUUUGUUUGGACAAUCAAGCCUUUGACAAUUGCAAUUGCAAACGAUUUGUGAAACAGUCUUCAAAAUGUAUAUUGACGUCACACUAUUUGUCAAUUUGCAAAUGUACUGUUGUCCGUAGUUACUCGACGUCAUGUCUAUUGACACAGUAUCUCAAGUCAUCCACUUGAUGGCAUUCGCUGCUUACAUAUUGUGACGUCACAAUUAACCGGUCUCAGUUGCCAGUCGUUUUCAGUAACGGAAGAUCGCAUGUCGGGCAAUCCGAAUCGCAGCCACUGGGAGGACGAAACGGAGCUGCAGACGUUUGAGCAUGGUGACGUCUAUCGUCCUCUCUCGAGCCGUUCACAGAUCUCGGAAGCUUGGAGUGAAACAAGACCCAGUGGAGAAGUUGGCAAGUCUGAUCAUGACAGGGCGGCUGUAGAUGUUGAGAUGAAUACACGCGAUGACGGGAAGGACGGGCGACCGACGUCUCGAAUUAUGAACGUCCUCAUGAAAAUAUGGCGAACUAGACACACGUUGAAGGACGAACAGAGCGACAGAGAAUUGGUCAUAAAGACGACGCUUAGAGAACUGAUAACGUACAUUGUUUUCGUUAUCAUCAUAUGCAUUGUAACAUAUGGUAUGACCAACACCAUCACGUAUUACUACACCAGGGCAAUGAGAAAUUUGUUUGUUAAUGUGAAACUUGAAAGCGGGAGUAGUAGCACAUUUGAAAGUAUUACCAGUUACGAAGACUUUUGGAAGUAUGCUGAAGGUCCUCUACUGGAUGGCUUGUAUUGGGAGAAAUGGUACAACCAAGAGAACAUCUCACAAGAUGAUUAUGGAUAUUUGUACUAUGAGAACAAACUCCUGGGACGUCCAAGACUGAGGCUGUUAAGAGUUCGUUCGGAUAGCUGCAGCAUUCACAGCGAAUUUAAAAAAGAGAUCACUGAUUGCUAUGGUGACUAUGCAAAGGGAAUUGAAGACAAAAGCAGUUUUGGUCUUGCGAACAAUGAGACGGCAUGGACAUACCAGACGUCUAGUGAAUUGAAGAGCCGAGACUAUUGGGGCAAGCUGGCAACGUAUGACGGAGGAGGGUUCACACAUUUGCUGCCUGAAUCUCGUAGGCAAGCUGCACGUGUGAUUGCUGAACUCAAAGACAAUAUGUGGCUUGAUCGAGCAUCUCGAGUUGUAUUUCUUGACUUCACUGUGUACAAUGCCAAUAUCAACUUAUUUUGUGUUGUGAAGCUUAUUGUCGAGUUUCCAGCUACUGGAGGUGCGAUAUCUUCUGCUGUUUUCAGGAGUGUGAAACUGCUGCGCUACGUAACAUCCCUUGACUACUUUGUGGGCUUUUGUGAGGUCGUAUUCUGUUUGUUCAUCAUCUACUACAUUGUGGAGGAAGUCCUGGAGAUCUACUUGCACAGAAUGAAGUAUUUCAAGAAUGUUUGGAAUUGCCUUGACAUACUCAUGAUAUUGAUUGCAAUUGUGUGCAUGGCAUUCAACAUUUAUAGGACAGUGACGGUUGGGGGUAAAUUGCAGGAGCUGCUGGAUUAUCCUUCGCAGUAUGCAAGUUUUGAGAAUCUUGGUUUCUGGCAAGUGCAAUUCAACCACAUGUCGGCUGUUCUUAUUUUCUUUGCUUGGUUUAAGCUCUUCAAAUACAUCAGUUUCAAUAAAACAAUGAAUCAGUUGUCAUCCACUCUUUCCAAGUGUGCAAAGGACGUGUUGGGAUUCUGUGUCAUGUUCUUCAUUGUAUUCUUUGCGUUCGCACAGCUGGGAUACCUCGUGUUUGGGGCACAACUUCGUGACUUCAGUACAUUUGGAGACAGUGUAUUCACGCUGUUUCGCAUCAUCCUUGGUGACUUUGAUUUCAUUGCUUUGGAAGAUGCCAACAGGAUCCUUGGUCCCAUCUUCUUUGUCACUUAUGUCUUCUUUGUGUUCUUUGUUCUGCUGAACAUGUUUCUUGCAAUCAUCAAUGACACAUAUGGUGAAGUCAAAGCUGAAAUUCGUGAUGAUGAUGAAAUGACCGUUACUGACUACUUCAAGAAGAGUUACAACAAGUUGUUAGGCAAGUUGACAUCUCGGCGAGCACAAGUUCUUGAUGUUGCUGAAGCAUUGAAAGAUGCAGAUCAUAACAAAGACAAGAAUAUUGAUUUUAAAGAGUGGAGGACUGAAAUGAAACGACGAGGUCGCAGUGAUAAAGAAAUUGAAGAAGCAUUUGCGGCAUAUGAUGAAAACGGUGAUCGAGUCUUAUCUGAAGACGAGCAACGGCACUUGGCAAGAGAUCUGGAACGUGAAAAAGCUGACUUAGAUGAAGAAAUCAGAGAGGCAGAGUUCGCUCACGACAAAGCAAAAUCAAGGGCUAAAACUGCAAUGAAGCAUCGUCAUGUGACUCAAGAAAAGACAUCAGCAGCAAAUGGUGUGUCACUAGAUGAGUUUGCCAUUCUCAGUCGACGUGUGGACCGUCUAGAGCAGUCAAUAGGAGGCGUGAUGUCCAGGAUUGAUGCUGUGAUUAUCAAACUGCAUGAUAUUCAUCUGCAGAAGCCUUUGCAACUUCCAUCUCUCUCACUUCACCCACAGAGCCACAAGCGAGAGGUACUACCUCCGUUGCCUUUGGUACCUGCACCUGCACUUGUGCCUGCUCCUGCACCCUCGUAUGUAUCUACAGAGUCACAGUUGCAUGCACCUAAGCCAGCCACUCCACCAAGUAGAGCCGAGAGAGGAGAAGAGACGAAAGAUAAAAUGUGAAAAAUAAGAAGAGCAUGAAGAAACAGUCUGCAAGACAGUUAACCGGUUGCAUAUUAACUGAGCUGUGUGCAUGCAUGGACCAUUGUUUGCUGUAUUUAGUAUAUAGUGUGUAUACAUACACAUAGUAGCAAUAAUGUAUGUACUAUAUGAGAUGUCUAUCAUUAAAUGUUCAGACAGAGAGCACAUCGUCUCAUGAAAACCGUUCCAUUGAGUGCUUAGUGCAGGAAGAACUGGGAAAAUAUACAAGUCAUAACCAGACAAACAGGAAGCCACUGAACACGGGAGUGUCUAACGAGAAUGGCAACAAAGCU